CUACGGGACGCUGCAGUGGGGAAUAUUGGACAAUGGGGGAAACCCUGAUCCAGCAAUGCCGCGUGAAUGAAGAAGGCCUUAGGGUUGUAAAGUUCUUUCACCUGUGAAGAUGAUGACGGUAGCAGGAGAAGAAGCCCCGGCUAACUCCGUGCCAGCAGCCGCGGUAAGACGGAGGGGGCUAGCGUUGUUCGGAAUGACUGGGCGUAAAGGGCGCGUAGGCGGUCUUUUAAGUGAGGCGUGAAAGCCCUGGGCUUAACCCAGGAGGUGCGUUUCAAACUGGAAGACUUGAGUACGAGAGAGGAAAGUGGAAUUCCUAGUGUAGAGGUGAAAUUCGUAGAUAUUAGGAAGAACACCAGUGGCGAAGGCGGCUUUCUGGCUCGUAACUGACGCUGAGGCGCGAAAGCGUGGGGAGCAAACAGGAUUAGAUACCCUAGUAGUC
rnacentral:rRNA from 1 species